GUAUUGAUGAAGAGUCCCAUACUAAGAGGAAACAACUGUCCAGUAC
rnacentral:hammerhead_ribozyme from 1 species